GACAGAGGGUGCAAACGUUGCUCGGAAUUACUGGGCGUAAAGCGCGUGUAGGCUGACCGGAAAGUCGGGCGUGAAAGCCCUGGGCUCAACCCAGGAACUGCACUCGAAACUCCCGGUCUAGAGUGGUGGAGAGGGAAGUGGAAUUCCUGGUGUAGAGGUGAAAUUCGUAGAUAUCAGGAGGAACACCAGUGGCGAAGGCGGCUUCCUGGACACCAACUGACGCUGAGACGCGAAGCGUGGGGAGCAAACAGG
rnacentral:rRNA from 1 species